CCUANGGGGGGCUGCAGUGGGGAAUUGUUCGCAAUGGGCGAAAGCCUGACGACGCAACGCCGCGUGGAGGAUGAAGGUCUUCGGAUUGUAAACUCCUGUUGCCCGGGACGAAAAGCUCCGACCUAACACGUCGGAAUCUGACGGUACCGGGUGAGGAAGCCCCGGCUAACUCUGUGCCAGCAGCCGCGGUAAUACAGAGGGGGCAAGCGUUGUUCGGAAUUACUGGGCGUAAAGGGCGCGUAGGCGGCCUGUUAAGUCGAACGUGAAAUCCCUGGGCUCAACCCAGGAACUGCGUCCGAUACUGGCUGGCUUGAAUCCGGGAGAGGGAUGCGGAAUUCCAGGUGUAGCGGUGAAAUGCGUAGAUAUCUGGAGGAACACCGGUGGCGAAGGCGGCAUCCUGGACCGGUAUUGACGCUGAGGCGCGAAAGCCAGGGGAGCAAACGGGAUUAGAUACCCCUNUANUC
rnacentral:rRNA from 1 species